rnacentral:tRNA from 1 species
GCAGAUGUAGUGCAGUGGUCAGCACGCGACGCUGUGGUUACUUAUCUGCGGACCCGUGGAAAAGUGGGUUCGAAUCCCAGCAUCUGCA